UGGGGAAUUUUGCGCAAUGGGGGAAACCCUGACGCAGCGAUGCCGCGUGGAGGACGAAGGUCUUCGGAUUGUAAACUCCUUUUGUAGGGGAAAAACAGACGGGUGAAUAGCCCGUCUUGAUGGUACCCUGCGAAUAAGCCACGGCUAACUUCGUGCCAGCAGCCGCGGUAAGACGAAGGUGGCGAGCGUUACUCGGAAUUACUAGGCGUAAAGCGUGGGCAGGUGGUCCGAUAAGUCUGUUGUGAAAGCUCCCGGCUUAACUGGGAGAGGCCAAUGGAUACUGUUGGACUUGAAUGUGGGAGAGGUGACUGGAAUUCCCGGUGUAGCGGUGAAAUGCGUAGAGAUCGGGAGGAACACCAAUGGCGAAAGCAGGUCACUGGACCACUAUUGACACUCAUCCACGAAAGCUAGGGGAUCAAACAGG
rnacentral:rRNA from 1 species